rnacentral:rRNA from 1 species
GACGAACGCUGGCGGCGUGCUUAACACAUGCAAGUCGAGCGGUAAGGCCCUUUCGGGGGUACACGAGCGGCGAACGGGUGAGUAACACGUGGGUGACCUGCCCUCAGCUCUGGGAUAAGCCCGGGAAACUGGGUCUAAUACCGGAUAUGACUCCAUGACGCAUGUUGUGGGGUGGAAAGCCUUGUGCGGCUGAGGAUGGGCCCGCGGCCUAUCAGCUUGUUGGUGGGGUNAUGGCCUACAAGGCGACGACGGGUAGCCGGCCUGAGAGGGCGACCGGCCACACUGGGACUGAGACACGGCCCAGACUCCUACGGGAGGCAGCAGGUGGGGAAUCUUGCGCAGUGGGCGAAAGCCUGACGCAGCGACGCCGCGUGAGGGAUGACGGCCU